UACGGAAGGGGCAAGCGUUGUUCGGAAUCAUUGGGCGUAAAGGGCGCGUAGGUGGUUCUGUAUGUCUAUCGUGAAAGCGUACGGCUCAACCGUAUUUUGUCGGUAGAAACUGCAGGACUUGAGGUUGGGAGGGGCUGGUGGAAUUCCCUGUGUAGCGGUGAAAUGCGUAGAGAUGGGGGAGAACACUUGUGGCGAAGGCGGCCAGCUGGACCAAAUCUGACACUGAGGCGCGACAGCGUGGGGAGCAAACAGG
rnacentral:rRNA from 1 species